rnacentral:rRNA from 1 species
UACGGGGGGAGCAAGCGUUGUUCGGAUUUACUGGGCGUAAAGGGCGCGUAGGCGGCCAUCUAAGUCAGACGUGAAAUCCCCCGGCUUAACCUGGGAACUGCGUCUGAUACUGGAAGGCUUGAGUAUGGGAGAGGGAUGUAGAAUUCCAGGUGUAGCGGUGAAAUGCGUAGAUAUCUGGAGGAAUACCGGUGGCGAAGGCGGCAUCCUGGACCAUUACUGACGCUGAGGCGCGAAAGCUAGGGGAGCAAACGGG